rnacentral:rRNA from 1 species
UUAAAGAGUUCUAUAACUCCCAAACCCAUGUGAACAUACCUAACGUUGCCUCGGCAGGUCGCACCUACCUUGUAGCACCCUACCCUGUAGGGCCUACCCGGGAGGUGCGGGUAAGCCUGCCGGCGGCCCACCAAACUCUGUUUGAUAUUGAAUUCUGAACCUAUAACUAAAUAAGUUAAAACUUUCAACAACGGAUCUCUUGGUUCUGGCAUCGAUGAAGAACGCAGCGAAAUGCGAUAAGUAAUGUGAAUUGCAGAAUUCAGUGAAUCAUCGAAUCUUUGAACGCAUAUUGCGCCCAUUAGUAUUCUAGUGGGCAGGACCGUUCGAGCGUCAUUUCAACCCUUAAGCCUUCGUUGCUUAGUGUUGGGAGCCUACGGCAACGUAGCUCCUCAAAGUUAGUGGCGGAGUUGGUUCACACUCUAGACGUAGUAAUUUUUUAUCUCGCCUAUUAGUUGGACUAAUCCCCUGCCGUAAAACCCCCAAUUUAUCAAGGUUGACCUCGAAUCGGUUCAGACAAACUCGCUAAAUUGAAGCAUCUUAGUCAGCGAAGGAAAAGAAACCAACAGGGAUUGCCCUAGUAACGGCGAGUGAAGCGGCAAC